rnacentral:rRNA from 1 species
AUGGGAGUGAAAGGUGCGUAGGNGGNUGAUUAAGUCGGAUGUGAAAUCCCUGAGCUUAACUUAGGAAUUGCAUUCGAUACUGGUCAGCUAGAGUAUGGGAGAGGAUGGUAGAAUUCUAGGUGUAGCGGUGAAAUGCGUAGAGAUCUGGAGGAAUACCGAUGGCGAAGGCAGNCAUCUGGUCUAAUACUGACGCUGAGGUACGAAAGCAUGGGGAGCAAACAGGAUUAGAUACCCUGGUAGUCCAUGCCGUAAACGAUGUCUACUAGCCGUUGGGGGCCUUUGAGGUUUUAGUGGCGCAGCUAACGCGAUAAGUAGACCGCCUGGGGAGUACGGUCGCAAGACUAAAACUCAAAUGAAUUGACGGGGGGCCNCACAANCGGUGGAGCAUGUGGUUUANUUC